GAUGAACGCUGGCGGCGUGCCUAAUACAUGCAAGUCGAGCGAACGGACGAGAAGCUUGCUUCUCUGAUGUUAGCGGCGGACGGGUGAGUAACACGUGGAUAACCUACCUAUAAGACUGGGAUAACUUCGGGAAACCGGAGCUAAUACCGGAUAAUAUUUUGAACCGCAUGGUUCAAAAGUGAAAGACGGUCUUGCUGUCACUUAUAGAUGGAUCCGCGCUGCAUUAGCUAGUUGGUAAGGUAACGGCUUACCAAGGCAACGAUGCAUAGCCGACCUGAGAGGGUGAUCGGCCACACUGGAACUGAGGCACGGUCCCGACUCCUACGGGAGGCAGCAGUAGGGAAUCUUCCGCAAUGGGCGAAAGCCUGACGGAGCAACGCCGCGUGAGUGAUGAAGGUCUUCGGAUCGUAAAACUCUGUUAUUAGGGAAGAACAUAUGUGUAAGUAACUGUGCACAUCUUGACGGUACCUAAUCAGAAAGCCACGGCUAACUACGUG
rnacentral:rRNA from 1 species